GAUGAACGCUAGCGGCAGGCUUAAUACAUGCAAGUCGAGGGGCAGCACGGUUAGCAAUAACUGGUGGCGACCGGCGCACGGGUGCGUAACACGUAUACAAUCUACCUUAAACAGGGGAUAGCCUUUCGAAAGAGAGAUUAAUACCCCGUAAUAAAUUGAACGGCAUCGUUUGAUUUUGAAAGCUCCGGCGGUUUGAGAUGAGUAUGCGUCUGAUUAGCUAGUUGGUGAGGUAACGGCUCACCAAGGCGACGAUCAGUAGGGGAUCUGAGAGGACUAACCCCCACACUGGUACUGAGACACGGACCAGACUCCUACGGGAGGCAGCAGUAGGAAUAUGGUCAAUGGAGGCAACUCUGAACCAGCCAUGCCGCGUGCAGGAUGA
rnacentral:rRNA from 1 species